rnacentral:tRNA from 1 species
GAGGGUAUAGCUCAAGUGGUAGAGUGCUUGCUUAGCAUCCACAGGGUUCUGGGUUCAAUCCCCAGUACCACCU